GUGGGGAAUCUUAGACAAUGGGGGAAACCCUGAUCUAGCCAUGCCGCGUGAUCGAUGAAGGCCUUAGGGUUGUAAAGAUCUUUCAGCUGGGAAGAUAAUGACGGUACCAGCAGAAGAAGCCCCGACUAACUCCGUGCCAGCAGCCGCGGUAAUACGGAGGGGGCUAGCGUUGUUCGGAAUUACUGGGCGUAAAGCGCACGUAGGCGGAUUGGAAAGUUGGGGGUGAAAUCCCGGGGCUCAACCCCGGAACUGCCUUCAAAACUCCCAGUCUUGAGGUCGAGAGAGGUGAGUGGAAUUCCGAGUGUAGAGGUGAAAUUCGUAGAUAUUCGGAGGAACACCAGUGGCGAAGGCGGCUCACUGGCUCGAUACUGACGCUGAGGUGCGAAAGCGUGGGGAGCAAACAGGAUUAGAAACCCGUGUAGUCC
rnacentral:rRNA from 1 species